GGGGUAUCGGUACAGAGUCAAUGUGGAGGCUAUAUACAGGGGGUAUCGGUACAGAGUCAAUGUGGAGGCUAUAUACAGGGUAUUACGGUACAGAGUCAAAGUGGAGGCUAUAUACAGGGGGUAUCGGUACAGAGUUAAUGUGGAGGCUAUAUACAGGGGGUAUCGGUACAGAGUCAAUGUGGAGGCUAUAUACAGGGGGGAUCGGUACAGAGUCAAUGUGGAGGCUAUAUACAGGGGGUAUCGGUACAGAGUCAAUGUGGAGG